UCCCUGGUAGUCCAGUGGCUAAGACUCUGCACUCCCAAUGCAGGGGUCCUGGGUCUGAUCCCCGGUCAGGGGA
rnacentral:tRNA from 1 species